UAUUUUCAAAUGUUUAUAUUAUGGUUUAAUAUUUUACAUUUAAUUAACUUUCUGAUCUUUCUUUCUUUCUUUCUUUCUUUCUUUCUUUCUUUCUUUCUUUCUUUCUUUCUUUCGUGUGUGCUGCUGGGGAUUGAACCCAGAGUCUUACUCAUGCUAGGCAAGUUAUAUACCACUGAGCUACUUGCCCAGUCCUUCAUUUUUUAUUUUGAAUUAAUUUUUCUAGAAAGUGUGACAUUUAGAUCAAGGUUCAUCCUUUCUUUCCCUACCUUUCCCAUCCCUCCCCUCCCCUUCCCUUCCCUUCCAUUAUGUCCCAUUUCCUUCCUUUUUUUCUUCUCUCUUCUCUUUGCCCUAUGGGUAUCCAAUUGUUUCAGAAUUAUUUGUGGAAAAUGCUAUUUUUUUUUUCUCAUGAAAUUAUUUUUGCACCUCA
rnacentral:lncRNA from 1 species